GUAAAAGGUGUAUUGUGUUAAUGUAAAUUGCUCAAGAAAUCACCGCAGCGAUGAGAAACGGCUCGUGAGUUGGGUUAAGAAACGUAAACGAUGUAACCGAUCGAUUAAGAGAUUGAAGGAGGAAUGAGAAUAUUCAUCAAUUACGGAAAGACGGAGAAAGGUCGCAAUGUGGAUUUCACUAUUUAUAAAACGUCCUUUAAAAACUGACUAUGUGACAGGACUUCCGGCAGGAGACCAGUAACAGAGGCCAUUGGAUAGGAAGGGCUAAACCGAAUGACGUUUCAUUCUAAACGAAGCCGCUAGAUAUCAUGUACCUGCAUGUAGAAACGCGACACGCAGUGCAAACUAAGAAUUUCCGAAACCUUAGUUUAACAUAUAUUACUGUAGUUUGUAAAAUGAAACUAUAAUUUUUUAAACAAAUUUAAGCAAUUACAUACAGGAAAUAAAAUAUUUUACAUUAUUAAGUAUUUAUGUGAACGUAUGUACAUAUGAUCUGUGUUAUCCGUCCCAAAUUCAAG